rnacentral:lncRNA from 1 species
GGCAGGCAUUACCUGUAAAUGGGGACGAAGUCUGUAUGAAUUAUUUUUUUGUUACUUAAAUAUUUGUUAAAAAAAAUAAACGGAAAUACCGUAACGUUUCCGAUUUUGGUUCUGUUGUUAGGGAUUUUAGUUGUGACGUUAUUUAAAUUAUGACGUCAUAUGCAAUGUAAACAAAGAAACGCUAUCAUUAGGUAACGUUUUUUCAUAUCAAGGAAUUAUUAAAAAUGAAAUUGGUAUUGCGCGUUCCUUCCUAUUUUAUACUAGACUGAUAAAUAUAUAUUUUACUCAAAGUUUCAUACAAACGAGACCGGAAAAAGGAAGUAUAUUGUACAUUUCUGCGCAGGUCCGGGAUUUCAAAACAUGACAUAAAAAAAAUUGAACGAUUUUGAGUUCAUUAGUACAAUGAAAAAUUCGGGAAAUUUUCCCGAAUUUUUUUUUAUUGAAUUUUCUACUGUUAUUGGGGACUUCGUCCCCAUAUCAACAUAAC